CUGUCUGAAUAUGGGGGGACCAUCCUCCAAGGCUAAAUACUCCUGACUGACCGAUAGUGAACCAGUACCGUGAGGGAAAGGCGAAAAGAACCCCGGCGAGGGGAGUGAAAAAGAACCUGAAACCGUGUACGUACAAGCAGUGGGAGCACCUUCGGGUGUGACUGCGUACCUUUUGUAUAAUGGGUCAGCGACUUAUAUUCUGUAGCAAGGUUAACCGUAUAGGGGAGCCGCAGGGAAACCGAGUCUUAACUGGGCGUUAAGUUGCAGGGUAUAGACCCGAAACCCGGUGAUCUAGCCAUGGGCAGGUUGAAGGUUGGGUAACACUAACUGGAGGACCGAACCGACUAAUGUUGAAAAAUUAGCGGAUGACUUGUGGCUGGGGGUGAAAGGCCAAUCAAACCGGGAGAUAGCUGGUUCUCCCCGAAAGCU
rnacentral:rRNA from 1 species